GAUCCUGGCUUAGGACGAACGCUGGCGGCGUGCUUCAUACAUGCAAGUCGAACGAGAAGCUUACUUCGGUAAGUGGAAAGUGGCGGACGGGUGAGUAAUGUGUAGAGAAUCUGCCCUGAAGUGGGGGACAACAGAGGGAAACUUCUGCUAAUACCCCAUAUGAGCGUAGUUGCGAUACUAUUCUUGAAAGAUUUAUCGCUUCAGGAUGAGUCUGCAUCUGAUUAGCUAGUUGGGGGUGUAAUGGACCACCAAGGCGACGAUCAGUAGCUGGUUUGAGAGGAUGAUCAGCCACAAUGGGACUGAGACACGGCCCAUACUCCUACGGGAGGCAGCAGUAGGGAAUUUUGCGCAAUGGGCGAAAGCCUGACGCAGCCAACGCCGCGUGAUCGCAGACGGCCUUCGGGUUGUAAAGAUCUGUCAGUAGGGACGAACAAUGACUGUACCUACAGAGGAAGCACCGGCUAACUCCGUGCCAGCCGCGGC
rnacentral:rRNA from 1 species